rnacentral:rRNA from 1 species
AUUGAACGCUGGCGGCAGGCCUAACACAUGCAAGUCGAACGAGUGGCGGACGGGUGAGUAAUGUCUGGGAAACUGCCCGAUGGAGGGGGAUAACUACUGGAAACGGUAGAUAAUACCGCAUACCAUCGGAUGUGCCCAGAUGGGAUUCGCUCGUAGGUGGGGUAACGGCGCACCUAGGCGACGAUCCCUAGCUGGUCUGGGAUGAUGACCAGCCACACUGGAACUGAGACACGGUCCAGACUCCUACGGGAGGCAGCAGUGGGGAAUAGUGCACAAUGGGCGCAAGCCUGAGGCAGCCAUGCCGCGUGUAUGAAUAAGGCCUUAGGGUUGUAAAGUACUUUCAGCGGGGAGGCGUUACCCGCAGAAGAAGCACCGGCUAACGCCGUGCCAGCAGCCGCGGUAAUUC